AGUGAACUCUGGCGGUAGGCCUAACACAUGCAAGUCGAACGGCAGCACAGUAAGAGCUUGCUCUUACGGGUGGCGAGUGGCGGACGGGUGAGGAAUACAUCGGAAUCUACUUUUUCGUGGGGGAUAACGUAGGGAAACUUACGCUAAUACCGCAUACGACCUACGGGUGAAAGCAGGGGAUCUUCGUACCUUGCGCGAUUGAAUGAGCCGAUGUCGGAUUAGCUAGUUGGCGGGGUAAAGGCCCACCAAGGCGACGAUCCGUAGCUGGUCUGAGAGGAUGAUCAGCCACACUGGAACUGAGACACGGUCCAGACUCCUACGGGAGGCAGCAGUGGGGAAUAUUGGACAAUGGGCGCAAGCCUGAUCCAGCCAUACCGCGUGGGUGAAGAAGGCCUUCGGGUUGUAAAGCCCUUUUGUUGGGAAAGAAAAGCAGCAGGUUAAUACCCCGCUGUUCUGACGGUACCCAAAGAAUAAGCACCGGCUAACUUCGUG
rnacentral:rRNA from 1 species